UAUGGCCACAUCACAUUGAGACACCGAUUCCAGUACAAUCACCAAAGUGAAGCAAUGUCAAGCCUGGUCAGUACUUAGAUGGGUGACCGCUUAGGAAUACCAUGUGCUGUAAG